GAUGAACGCUGGCGGCGUGCCUAAUACAUGCAAGUCGAGCGAACAGACGAGGAGCUUGCUCCUCUGACGUUAGCGGCGGACGGGUGAGUAACACGUGGAUAACCUACCUAUAAGACUGGGAUAACUUCGGGAAACCGGAGCUAAUACCGGAUAAUAUAUUGAACCGCAUGGUUCAAUAGUGAAAGACGGUUUUGCUGUCACUUAUAGAUGGAUCCGCGCCGCAUUAGCUAGUUGGUAAGGUAACGGCUUACCAAGGCGACGAUGCGUAGCCGACCUGAGAGGGUGAUCGGCCACACUGGAACUGAGACACGGUCCAGACUCCUACGGGAGGCAGCAGUAGGGAAUCUUCCGCAAUGGGCGAAAGCCUGACGGAGCAACGCCGCGUGAGUGAUGAAGGUCUUCGGAUCGUAAAACUCUGUUAUUAGGGAAGAACAAGUGUGUAAGUAACUAUGCACGUCUUGACGGUACCUAAUCAGAAAGCCACGGCUAACUACGUG
rnacentral:rRNA from 1 species